rnacentral:rRNA from 1 species
AUUGAACGCUGGCGGCAUGCUUUACACAUGCAAGUCGAACGGCAGCGCGGGCUUCGGCCUGGCGGCGAGUGGCGAACGGGUGAGUAAUGCAUCGGAACGUGCCCAGUAGUGGGGGAUAGCCCGGCGAAAGCCGGAUUAAUACCGCAUACGACCUGAGGGUGCAAGCGGGGGACCGAAAGGCCUCGCGCUAUUGGAGCGGCCGACGUCGGAUUAGCUAGUUGGUGGGGUAAAGGCUUACCAAGGCGACGAUCCGUAGCUGGUCUGAGAGGACGACCAGCCACACUGGGACUGAGACACGGCCCAGACUCCUACGGGAGGCAGCAGUGGGGAAUUUUGGACAAUGGGGGCAACCCUGAUCCAGCCAUGCCGCGUGCGGGAAGAAGGCCUUCGGGUUGUAAACCGCUUUUGUUCGGGAAGAAAUCCUCUGGGCUAAUACCCCGGGGGGAUGACGGUACCGGAAGAAUAAGCACCGGCUAACUACGUG